rnacentral:rRNA from 1 species
UGGGGAAUAUUGGACAAUGGGCGAAAGCCUGAUCCAGCCAUGCCGCGUGUGUGAAGAAGGUCUUCGGAUUGUAAAGCACUUUAAGUUGGGAGGAAGGGCAGUAAGCGAAUACCUUGCUGUUUUGACGUUACCGACAGAAUAAGCACCGGCUAACUCUGUGCCAGCAGCCGCGUUAAUACAGAGGGUGCAAGCGUUAAUCGGAAUUACUGGGCGUAAAGCGCGCGUAGGUGGUUCGUUAAGUUGAAUGUGAAAGCCCCGGGCUCAACCUGGGAACUGCAUCCAAAACUGGCGGGCUAGAGUAGGGCAGAGGGUGGUGGAAUUUCCUGUGUAGCGGUGAAAUGCGUAGCUAUAGGAAGGAACACCAGUGGCGAAGGCGACCACCUGGGCUCAUACUGACACUGAGGUGCGAAAGCGUGGGGAGCAAACAGG